rnacentral:rRNA from 1 species
UACGUAGGGUGCAAGCGUUGUCCGGAAUUAUUGGGCGUAAAGGGCUCGUAGGCGGUCCAUCGCGUCGGGAGUGAAAAGCUGGGGCUUAACCCCAGUCCUGCUUCCGAUACGGGUGGACUAGAGGUAGGUAGGGGAGAACGGAAUUCCUGGUGUAGCGGUGAAAUGCGCAGAUAUCAGGAGGAACACCGGUGGCGAAGGCGGAUCUCUGGGCCUUACCUGACGCUGAGGCGCGAAAGCUAGGGGAGCGAACAAG